rnacentral:rRNA from 1 species
CCUACGGGAGGCAGCAGUGAGGAAUAUUGGUCAAUGGGCGCGAGCCUGAACCAGCCAAGUCGCGUGAGGGAAGACGGUCCUAUGGAUUGUAAACCUCUUUUGUCGGGGAGCAAAAGACGCCACGCGUGGCGUUCCGAGAGUACCCGAAGAAAAAGCAUCGGCUAACUCCGUGCCAGCAGCCGCGGUAAUACGGAGGAUGCGAGUGUUAUCCGGAUUUAUGGGGUUUAAAGGGUGCGCAGGCGGAAGAUCAAGUCAGUGGUAAAAUUGAGAGGCUCAACCUCUUCGAGCCGUUGAAACUGGUUUUCUUUAGUGAGCGAGAAGUAUGAGGAAUGCGUGGUGUAGCGGUGAAAUGCAUAGAUAUCACGCAGAACUCCGAUUGCGAAGGCAGCAUACCGGCGCUCAACUGACGCUCAUGCACGAAAGUGUGGGUAUCGAACAGGAUUAGAUACCCCAGUAGUC